UACGUAGGGGGCGAGCGUUGUCCGGAUUCAUUUGGGGCGUAAAGAGCUCGUAGGCGGUUUGGCAAGUCGGGUGUGAAAUCUCCCGGGCUCAACUCGGGAGAGGCCACUCGAGACUGCUAUGACUAGAGUCCGGUAGGGGGACCAUGGAAUUCCUGGUGUAGCGGUGAAAUGCGUAGAUAUGCGGAGGGAACACCGAUGGCGAAGGCAAUCCCCCUGGACCUGUACUGACGCUCAUGCACGAAAGCGUGGGGGAGCAAACAGG
rnacentral:rRNA from 1 species